ACCCUCUCAGGGUCGCACCUGUAGAGUUUCCAGUACUCUACCAGUCUUGACUAUGGGAGGGAGAGUCAAGCAGAGGCAUACCCCUUCCAUUCCUAGCUUCGCCAGUGGCUAGCGAGUGGAAGGCAACCUGCUACAAGU
rnacentral:snoRNA from 1 species